AGAAAGAUUGGAGUACUUCUAUGAGAACUUGGAGGAUCGGUGUAAGGUUUCCAUACACAGACUGUGAUGCAUAUGCUAGAUGUGGUCCGUACGGGACCUGCCAUACCAAAGAAAACCCGCCUUGUAAAUGCGUUAAAGGGUUUGUACCAAAGAAUAGCACAGAGUGGAGUGGAGGGGUUUGGAGUAAUGGAUGUGUGAGAAAAGCUCCAUUGCUGUGUGAAAGACAGAGAAAUGUGAGUAAUGGUGGUGGUGGUGGUGGAGGAAAGGCAGAUGGGUUUUUCAAACUGCAGAAGAUGAAAGUGCCAGUCUCUGCGGAACGGUCUGAAGCUAAUGAACAAGUUUGUCCUAAAGUCUGUUUAGAUAACUGUUCUUGCACGGCUUAUGCUUAUGAUAGAGGAAUCGGAUGCAUGCUUUGGAGUCGUGACUUAGUUGAUAUGCAAUCAUUUUUGGGAAGUGGCAUUGAUCUUUAUAUUCGAGUUGCACAUUCUGAACUCAGUGAGUGAAAAAUCUCCUAGUGGUUCUCACUUUUUUUCCUCUCCAUUCAAUUUGACUUCACUGACUUUUGUUUGCUCACCAACUCUUAUAGAAAAACACAGCAAUCUAGCAAUUAUGGUCGCAGCACCUGUGAUAGGCGUUGGGCUUAUUGCCGCGGUCUGCAUUGUUUUAGCAUGUCGGAAAUACAAAAAGCGUCCAGCUGGUUAGAGUUUUGUUAAACUUAUACAUGUUGGCUUCAGAUUGUUUCUUUUAUCACAACUUAUUUCUUUCAUUGAUCAUUGCCUUAGCAGAGCCAGUGAAAGAUAGAAGUGCAGAGCUAUUGUUUAAAAGAAUGGAAGCACUUACAAGUGAUAAUGAGUCUGCUUCUAACCAAGUCAAGCUCAAGGAGCUUCCACUAUUUGAUUUUCAAGUUUUAGCAACAUCCACCGAUAACUUCUCUUUAAGAAACAAGCUAGGGCAAGGCGGGUUUGGUCCUGUUUACAAGGUAAAAGCAUUAUACAAGAAUCCAUCUGAAAAGAGAUAUGUGUAUAAAUAACCUCAGACUAAGUGUUUUGUCAUCUUUUUCUCCAGGGAAAAUUGCCAGAAGGGCAAGAAAUUGCAGUGAAGAGGCUCUCACGGAAAUCAGGACAAGGAUUAGAGGAACUUAUGAACGAAGUGGUUGUGAUAUCGAAGCUGCAACAUCGGAAUCUAGUGAAAUUACUUGGAUGUUGCAUUGAAGGUGAAGAAAGGAUGUUAGUCUAUGAAUAUAUGCCAAAGAAAAGCUUGGAUGCAUAUCUAUUUGGUAAAAUUUAUCACCUCUGUUUUCAACUCUGUUUUUCACCAUUUUGCUCUGGAUACUAAUGAUCUUGCUACCUUUUUCUCAGACCCAUUGAAGCAAAAGAUUCUUGAUUGGAAGACUCGGUUCAACAUAAUGGAAGGAAUUUGCAGAGGUCUUUUGUACCUUCACAGAGAUUCAAGACUAAAGAUCAUACACAGAGAUCUAAAAGCCAGCAACAUUUUGUUAGAUGAGAAUCUAAACCCCAAGAUAUCUGAUUUCGGACUUGCAAGAAUUUUCCGAGCGAAUGAAGAUGAAGCUAACACAAGAAGGGUUGUUGGAACGUAGUAAGUAUCCAUUCCCAAAUACAUAAGAAACAUUGUGGUAUGCGGGUUUAUUGAAAUUUUGUUUUUGCAGUGGCUACAUGUCACCAGAAUAUGCAAUGGAAGGUUUCUUUUCAGAAAAAUCAGACGUUUUCAGCUUGGGGGUUAUAUUUCUAGAGAUCAUUAGUGGGAGAAGAAACUCUAGUUCUCACAAGGAAGAGAGUAAUCUGAAUCUUUUGGCUUAUGUAAGUGUACUAAGCAGUGUUUAGUAACUUAUAGUUAAAUUAAGCCAUUGAAACUUACCUCAAAGUGGGUUGUUACAGGCAUGGAAGUUGUGGAACGAUGGUGAGGCUGCCUCUCUAGCAGAUCCAGCCGUCUUUGAUAAGAGUUUUGAGAAAGAGAUAGAGAAAUGUGUUCAUAUUGGACUGUUAUGUGUGCAAGAAGUAGCAAACGAUAGACCUAAUGUUUCAAGCGUGAUAUGGAUGCUAACUACCGAGAAUACAAACCUCGCCGAGCCGAAGCAGCCUGCAUUUAUAGCAAGAAGAGGAGCUUCUGAGGCUGAAUCUUCUGACCAGAGUAGUCAAAAGAUAUCCAUCAAUGAUGUGAGCCUCACAGCUGUAACAGGGCGUUAAUCUCACCCAGCCAAUCUCAGCCUGUUUAUAUAUAAUAAAUCUGUAAUAUAUACGUUUUGAGAAACUCCUAUGUUUACAAAUUUUGUUAUUCUACGUUUGUUCAAUGGUUAGAUGAAUGAAUAAGAGAUGUAUUUCAGAGAAGUUAUUUUUAGAUUCAACUGAGCUUUGUUGAAACUUUACAUAUUCUUAGAUAUGAUCAGAUUUUUGGAAUAAACUAACCUGGAUUAAGAAACUGAACCUGAAGGAAGAGGAGAAGAACAAAAAUCACCCAUGUUCUUGAGAAGCCACAGUAGGGUUUUGUUUUAAGACAAGGAACUAAAACACUAUUAUUAGUUUUGUGUUUUUGGGUAGUUUUGCUAUAGUACAUAGAAACAAACGUGGAUAAUGGAUAAGACUAUAAGAUCAGAAUUGACUUUU
rnacentral:lncRNA from 1 species